rnacentral:piRNA from 1 species
UUCAUCCCCGAAGAUGGCCAUUAGUC